rnacentral:rRNA from 1 species
CAAAGCAAUCUCUCCCUGCGUUUCUCACCUAGUUUCCUACUGAAGCUAAGCAGGGUUGAGCCUGGCCAGUACCUGGAUGGGAGACCUCCUGGGGAAAACUAAGGUAGUUGCUGGAA